rnacentral:rRNA from 1 species
UGUUUGAUGUUCUAACGUGGACCCGUGAUCCGGGUUGCGGACAGUGUCUGGUGGGUAGUUUGACUGGGGCGGUCUCCUCCUAAAGAGUAACGGAGGAGCACGAAGGUUGGCUAAUCCUGGUCGGACAUCAGGAGGUUAGUGCAAUGGCAUAAGCCAGCUUGACUGCGAGCGUGACGGCGCGAGCAGGUGCGAAAGCAGGUCAUAGUGAUCCGGUGGUUCUGAAUGGAAGGGCCAUCGCUCAACGGAUAAAAGGUACUCCGGGGAUAACAGGCUGAUACCGCCCAAGAGUUCAUAUCGACGGCGGUGUUUGGCACCUCGAUGUCGGCUCAUCACAUCCUGGGGCUGAAGUAGGUCCCAAGGGUAUGGCUGUUCGCCAUUUAAAGUGGUACGCGAGCUGGGUUUAGAACGUCGUGAGACAGUUCGGUCCCUAUCUGCCGUGGGCGCUGGAGAACUGAGGGGGGCUGCUCCUAGUACGAGAGGACCGGAGUGGACGCAUCACUGGUGUUCGGGUUGUCAUGCCAAUGGCACUGCCCGGUAGCUAAAUGCGGAAGAGAUAAGUGCUGAAAGCAUCUAAGCACGAAACUUGCCCCGAGAUGAGUUCUCCCUGAGACUUUAGGUCUCCUGAAGGAACGUUGAAGACGACGACGUUGAUAGGCCGGGUG